UGGAACUAAACACACACACACACUCUCACACACACACUAGAGAGCUCCAGACCACCGUGGCGACAUGAGUGGUGACUGGAGUCCUGCGUUGUUCUGUUCAUAGCUCGCGCACGGCGCACAAGGCCAGUAGAGGCAUUGUGUUUAGCUAUCGCUAGGCGAAUGGGAAUCAGUGCAGCUGUUGCUCUGUUGUUAGCCAGUGCUAAGUGAGCGCUGGAGCUACAGGGAGGGCUGGAGCUGUGUGGGGUGGUGUGGAGGACCUGCUCCACUGACUGCUCAGACAGAAAUAGCACAUGAGCGAGCGUGUCCAUUUCCACUGGCUGCCACUCAACACCAGCCCCACGCAGAGCCGCGUACGCGACAGGCUAACCUUGCGCGCUAACCUCGCACGCUAGCCUCGCUAGCCUCCUCCUGCUUCAAAGCAGCUGCUGCAGCAGGCCUUUCGCUUUCUCAAAACUGGCCAACCGAUGAGAAGAGACUGCUCCCGGUAACCGUGGGAAACUAUCUAUCUCGGAAUACUCUUCAAUGCCCCCCAUUCCACCAUGGAACCCUGCACAAGAAUGAAAAGGGAGGCGAUGAGGUAGUGGUCUGCUGAGCUCUUAACAGUCUGACCGAAGAGCACACGUGUGUGUGUGUGUGUGUGUGUGUGUGUGUGUGUCCUCUCCAGCCUCUCGCUCUGUGAGUGAGUUCGGUGUGUGUGACCAUGAGCUGCCUGGACAAGCGGAGUGUGUGUCUGCGCGUGACACACCACCACCGGAACCUGACCAGCUCGUGCGAGAGCCUGACGGACGAGGCCGAUCGCGAGGUCAGCACGCUGACGGACCGCGCCUUCCACUCGCUCUGCAUCGGCGACGAGGCCGUCUACAACGACGCCGAGUUCCUCACGCCGUCGCCCAGCAGCUGCCUGCUCAAGCCGCUGGCGGACGAGCACGCACGGAAGGUUCUGGAGAAUGCCCCGAGCCUCGUCAACAAGAAACUCGGCUCCAACGGCGCCGCCACCGUCGCCUGGCAGCACAAGGAUGUGUCGUCUCUCCUGUCCGCCUUCACAGCCGGGAAGAAUGGCGGCGCCGCCGCUAGAAUCCCGAACGGAACGCCGGCUGGGAAUAACGCGGAGUCGUGGGAUAAAUCGGCUCUGCUGAGCAUCCAGAGGGAGCUGGCAGAGUUCUCCAGCGACUUCUACAGGAGCCUGGCCGACGGCAGCUUCGCCGACGCCACCGGGAAGCAUAAAGGCGGAUCCACCGCCGAGAAAAAAUCCUGCAAGGAAACGUCCGGCAAGGAUGCCACCGCUUGCGCUUCCUCGGGGGGGAAGUCCUCCAAGUCCAAACACAGCAGCAGGUCCAGCAAGCUGAAGAAGCUGAACUCCCGCAACUUCUUCCUGCACAGCGAGUUCAGCCCGUUCCAGGCGUGGGAGGACCUACACCAGUUCCCCUUCGGACAGGAGAACAUUUCCGACCUGCUGCCGCCCCCCCACAGCUUCCCCCGCUGGGGCGACACCACCACUCUCUACAGACACCUCACUGCCGCACACACACUCAGUCCUGCCGCACACACACUCAGUCCUGCAGCACACACACUCAGUCCUGCAGCACACACACUCAGUCCUGCAGCACACACACUUGACCUUGCACACAGAUCAGGAGCCUUGCGGGGCCCAGAGGCAGUGCAGAGGACGGAGAGGUCACACAAAACUGAAACUGCACAGAGAUCAAAACACACUCAGAUACUCGACACAGCACAGGGCACUGAAAAUGUACAAAUAACUGCAACUGUGCAAAGGGCUGAAAGUGGACAAAAGACUGAGACCGCACAGAGAUUUGACACUGUGCAAAGAAUUGAAAGUGCACAGAGAAUUGACACUGUGCAAAGAAUUGAAAGUGCACAGAGAAUUAACACUGUGCAAAGAAUUGAAAGUGCACAGACAACUGCGACUGCACAGAGGGUGGACGAGUCAAAGAGAGCAGCGCGCCUGCGGGGGGGGGAGGGGGCUGAGCCGCUGCCCAAACCUGCAGGGGUGGAGGGGGGGCCGCCGGCUGCGGUACAGACUCCCUCUCUGGUGCCAAACCCUGCUGCCUUGGAGCAGCGCCGCCCCUCGGCAGACAGCGCGGAGUGUAGCGCCCCCUGGAGGCGAAACAGGAGCAGGGCGAGGAGCGCUGCCCCCGGUGGCCAAAGGGAGAAGAGCUCCCCCGCCACCGAGCCGCCCAGGAGACAGGAAGUGAGACAGGAAAUGAGAGAGGAAGUGAGACGCAUGGAGGAGCAGAGCUCCCCCGCCACCGAGGCCGGGCCGCCCAGGAGACAGGAAGUGAGACAGGAAGUGAGACAGGAAGUGAGACGCAUGGAGGAGCAGAGCUCCGCCAGCUCCACGCCGUUCAACAUCACACACCUGCUCACGCCCGUCAUCCUCUGUCGCCAGGAUACGGAGAGCUUGGAGCCCGCCCUCUUCUCGCCCGUGACCCUUGACCUCCCCGUUGCUGCAGUGCCCGAGCCCUCGCCCGAGACGAAGACGAAGGCGCGCGAGAGCUACCGGUCCAUGGCCACCAGCCUGCUCUUCAACCUCAAGGACAACAGGAAGAGAGUCAAGGCCAUGUACAGCCCGCCCAAGUUCAGACCCACCAGAGACCCACCUGCCCACCAGAGCAAGCCGGAGGGCACAGACAUGUCCGCGUGCACAGCUGCCCACCAGAGCAAGCCAGAUGGCACAGACAUGUCCGCGCGCACAGCGGACGGGCGACACCAGGACACGCGGGGGACAGAUCAGCUCUGCGUUCCCAACAGCGUUCCCAACAGCGUCGUCGCGCAGGGAGGCUCCCCCCAGGAGGCCCUGAGCAGGAGUCCUGUUGUGGUGAACACGUCUGGAUACCCGUGUCGGAAUCUGUACGCUACUGCUGAGGUUGCCACGGAGACUCAGGAACAGAACAGGCGUGGCCACGUCAAGGAGACCCCCAAGAGAUCGGUCAAGGACCGAGUCAAAGAGCUGCAGAGGCAGAACGCCGCGACUGUGAGUAAGGACCCCGGAAAGAGAGGCAAAGAAAUACCACCUGUGUGUCCUACUACUGGCCUCCAGGCCAUAGAUGGUGCUGUGGAUAAAGAAGGAGACAGAGAUACAUUAAAAGAGGAGAGACGACUGCCUGAUUUACCAGAGAAACCAUCUGAGAAACCCAAACCAGCCAAACAACCCCCUCCUGUAGCAGCCAGAGUCAAACUCUCUUCAUCACCCAGAGAGACACACUCCAUCUCCAACACUAAACACUCUUCACCCAGAGAGACACACUCCAUCUCCAACACUAAACACUCUUCACCCAUCGAGACACACCCCUCACCGAGAGAGACACACUCCGACACUAAACACCCCUCACCCAGAGAGACAGACUCCAACAUUAAACACUCUUCACCCAGAGAGACACACUCCAUCUCCAACACUAAACACCCUUCACCCAGAGACACAGACUCCAACUCUAAACACUCUUCACCCAGAGAGACACACUCCAUCUCCGACACUAAACACACUUCACCCAGAGAGACAGACUCCAUCUCCAACACUAAACACUCUUCACCCAGAGACACACACUCCAUCUGUGACGCUUCACCCAGAGACACACACUCCAACAAUAAACACUCUUCACCCAGAGAGACACACUCCGACACUAAACACUCUUCACCCAGAGAGACAGACUCUAGCUGUGACGCUAAACACGCCUUCUCUGCUCGGCAGAACAACUACAUCAAAAGCCAGAGGAGCGCCUUCGUGGGGGAGCAGGAGGAGGAGUGUGAGGAGUGGGACGAGCUCAGAGAGGAGGCUCUGCUGAAGGAGGUGAAGGCUGAGCUUCAGGAGCAGCAGCGGGCAGAGAGAACUAAGGCUGAGCUUCAGGAGCAGCAGCGGGCAGAGAGAACUAAGGCUGCGCUUCAGGAGCAGCAGCGGGCAGAGCAGCGGGCAGAGAGAGCUAAGGCUGAGCUCCAGGCUCGUCAGGAGCAGCAGCGGGCAGAGAGAACUAACGCUGAGCUUCAGGAGCAGCGGGCAGAGAGAGCUAAGGCUGAGCUCCAGGCUCGUCAGGAGCAGCAGCGGGCAGAGAGAACUAACGCUGAGCUUCAGGAGCAGCGGGCAGAGAGAGCUAAGGCUGAGCUUCAGGAGCAGCAGCGGGCAGAGAGAGCUAAGACUGAGCUUCAGGAGCAGCAGCGGGCAGAGAGAACUAAGGCUGAGCUCCAGGACCAGCAGCGGGCAGAGAGAACUAAGGCUGAGCUUCAGGAGCAGCAGCAGCGGGCAGAGAGAACUAAGGCUGAGCUUCAGGCUCGUCAGGAGCAGCAGCGGGCAGAGAGAACUAAGGCUGCGCUUCAGGAGCAGCAGCGGGCAGAGAGAGCUAACGCUGAGCUUCAGGAGCAGCGGGCAGAGAGAGCUAAGGCUGAGCUUCAGGAACAGCGGGCAGAGAGAGCUAAGGCUGAGCUUCAGGAGCAGCAGCGGGCAGAGAGAACUAAGGCUGAGCUUCAGGAGCAGCGGGCAGAGAGAACUAAGGCUGAGCUUCAGGAGCAGCGGACAGAGAGAACUAAGGCUGAGCUCCAGGCUCGUCAGGAGCAGCAGCGGGCAGAGAGAACUAAGGCUGCGGACCACCAGCGCGCGGGACUCCGCUCCGCUCCGAAAGAGUCUCCGAUGCCCCCCCGGGACGACGUACCAGCGCCAAAUGAGAGCCCAAGGCGUGAAAAUAACAUUCUGUUACCCUCGCCCUUGCCUGACGGGCGCACCCAAAAGGGCAUCGUACCCCUCAGAGGCAACACACUGGCCAAGCGAGACCUGUUCGCCAACAUGCACCCGCAGCCACCGGGCAGACACGCCACGAGGCAGAACGCCACGCUCGACAAAUACGACCUGGCCAAGAUGGCGCUGGAGGAGGUCAUAGCGGAGAGAGAGGAGAGGAAGAGGAGAGGUCAGGGGUCAUCGGAACACAAGCAGCAGGGAGGUGUAGAGGACCGUCAGGAGAACAGAACCGUGGUCUCACAGCAGAGAGAGAGAGAACCGAGCAGGGUUCUGAGGGACAGAAGGGAGAACAGACAGGAUAUUUCUGUGCGCGGCGACCAGACGAUGCACUCUGACCAGCAGGCCGAGAGCACUAAAGGACCUGUGGCCCCUCGAGGGCAAUUAGCCAAGGGUGUUCAUCAACAAGACCCCACGCCCCCCACCAAACAGAUCAAACACAACAGAGAAGGAAAGUCAGGCGAGAGGGGGAGGGUGGGUGGCGCUGAUGAGACUGGCAGGGGGAGGGGGG
ensembl:lncRNA